rnacentral:rRNA from 1 species
UACGGAGGGUGCGAGCGUUGUUCGGAAUCACUGGGCGUAAAGCGUGCGUAGACGGUUAUUUAAGUCAGGUGUGAAAGCCCCGGGCUCAACCUGGGAAUUGCAUUUGAGACUGAAUAGCUAGGGUGCGGAAGAGGGAAGCGGAAUUUCCGGUGUAGCGGUGAAAUGCGUAGAUAUCGGAAGGAACACCAGUGGCGAAAGCGGCUUCCUGGUCCAGCACCGACG